rnacentral:rRNA from 1 species
UACGGGGGGAGCAAGCGUUGUUCGGAUUUACUGGGCGUAAAGGGCGCGUAGGCGGCUUAACAAGUCACUUGUGAAAUCUCCGGGCUUAACUCGGAACGGCCAAGUGAAACUGUUAUGCUAGAGUGCAGAAGGGGCAAUCGGAAUUCUUGGUGUAGCGGUGAAAUGCGUAGAUAUCAAGAGGAACACCUGAGGUGAAGACGGGUUGCUGGGCUGACACUGACGCUGAUGCGCGAAAGCCAGGGGAGCAAACGGG